GGUAAAAAAGCUCGUAGUUGGAUUUCUGUUGAGGAUGACCGGUCCAUACCAUGUAUGCGCAUCUGGUUCAGCCUCGGCAUCCUCUCGAAAGACGUUUCUGCGCUUGAUUGCGUGGAGCGGAUCUCGGGACUUUUACUUUGAGGAAAUUAGAGUGUUCACGGCAGGCUAUCGCCAGAAUACAUUAGCAUGGAAUAAUACUAUAGGAUCUUGAUUCUAUUUUGUUGGUUUCUAGGAUUGAGAUAAUGAUUAAUAGGGACAAUUGGGGGCAUUCGUAUCAACACGUCAGAGGUGGAAUUCUUGGAUUGUGUUGCGACGAACUACUGCGAAAGCAUUUGCCAAGGAUGUUUUCAUUGAUCAAGAACGAAAGUAAGGGGAUCGAAGACGAUUAGAUACCGUCGUAGUCUUUACCAUAAACUAUGCCAACUAGAGAUGGGGCAUCGUUCACUUACGACUUGCUCCGCACCUUAUGAGAUAUCAAAGUCUUUGGGUUCCGGGGGGAGUAUGGUCGCAAGGCUGAAACUUAAAGGAAUUGACGGAAGGGCACUACCAGGAGUGGAGCUUGCGGCUUAAUUUGACUCAACACGGGGAAAACUCACCAGGUCCAGACAUAAUAAGGAUUGACAGAUUGAUAGCUCUUUCUUGAUUUUAUGGGGUGGUGGUGCAUGGCCGUUCUUUAGUUCGUGGGAGUGAUUUGUCUGCUUAAUUGCG
rnacentral:rRNA from 1 species